rnacentral:rRNA from 1 species
UACGUAGGGUGCGAGCGUUGUCCGGAAUUAUUGGGCGUAAAGAGCUCGUAGGCGGUGUGUCACGUCGGCCGUGAAAACCUGCAGCUUAACUGUGGGCGUGCGGUCGAUACGGGCAUCACUGGAGUUCGGCAGGGGAGACUGGAAUUCCUGGUGUAGCGGUGAAAUGCGCAGAUAUCAGGAGGAACACCGGUGGCGAAGGCGGGGUCUCUGGGGCCGAUACUGACGCUGAGGGAGCGAAAAGCCGUGGGGGAGCGAACAGG